rnacentral:rRNA from 1 species
GGCGAACGCUGGCGGCGUGCUUAACACAUGCAAGUCGAACGGAAAGGCCCUGCUUGCAGGGUACUCGAGUGGCGAACGGGUGAGUAACACGUGGGUGAUCUGCCCUGCACUUCGGGAUAAGCUUGGGAAACUGGGUCUAAUACCGGAUAGGAGCCAUCUUUAGUGUGGUGGUUGGAAAGUUUUUUCGGUGUAGGAUGAGCUCGCGGCCUAUCAGCUUGUUGGUGGGGUAAUGGCCUACCAAGGCGGCGACGGGUAGCCGGCCUGAGAGGGUGUACGGCCACAUUGGGACUGAGAUACGGCCCAGACUCCUACGGGAGGCAGCAGUGGGGAAUAUUGCACAAUGGGCGCAAGCCUGAUGCAGCGACGCCGCGUGGGGGAUGAAGGCCUUCGGGUUGUAAACUCCUUUCGCUAGGGACGAAGCUUUGUUGUGACGGUACCUAGAUAAGAAGCACCGGCUAACUACGUG